CGGGGUGUAGCGCAGCUUGGUAGCGCGCUUCGUUCGGGACGAAGAGGUCGUAGGUUCAAAUCCUAUCACCCCGA
rnacentral:tRNA from 1 species